rnacentral:lncRNA from 1 species
CUGGUCUUUGACCCUGUAUCAGGUCUCCUUUAUAUCCACACACUAACUGGUGUUGGACGGUUUUCAGACGGUCUCAUGAGUGUACCGGCUGAAAGGGCGCCACUGAUCACUUCCUCUUUUUUAAAGUUCUGCUGUGACGAGGGACACACAGAGCUGGUAUAUAUUAAGAGAACAAAGGGGACCAAGACCCAGUCCCUGAGGUGGUCCCUUGUGGUCAGUGUCGGUGCAAUAACUGCUCCUGAGCCCGUCCACUUGUUGUAUAGAUCGAUUUUAUUACAUGCACCCGCAGAGCUGCUCACAGCAUCAACAGUUAUAAAGACGCUACAGAAGCUUUCAACGGCCCCAAACAGUCAACAAUCAGUUAUCAUAAAGGCACAGACAGCAAGUGGAAAGAUACUGCACUCUACGACUGACCCGGUACAAAAAAAACACACACCACCCAUCACAGCUGCACUGUACUACUGCAACAACAGCACAAAGGUAUCACUGCAUGACAUCUACGGCGCAUGUCUUCAGCUCAGAGAGGGAAAUACUGCACAACUCAGUCAUCGGACAUCGUUACACAAACACCUGUGUUCAUGCAGAAGGACUCCACACGGCCUGAGAGGAAAGAAACCGAUACCUGAGUCAAACCGAAAGAAAAUCAAUACUGAAAACGGCCUGAAUGGACCCAUCAAGAAAUCAAGAUCAAAGGAAGGAAGGAGUGUGCUGACUGUAUAUGUAACAAAAGGAUCGAUACGCACUGCAGCCGACACAGUUCUUCACAUCCUCCACCCACUCUAAAACCUUGUCGAGGCACUUGCGGUAAAUGGGCUGUGACAGUGACACCUAGCCGGGCCCCGUUCCUCCAGGUUUGUAAAUCCAUCGUGACUUUAAAUGGGUCUGACUGGAUUUUUGUGUCCUCCAUUCAAAGAAAAUCAACUGUAAAUAGAAAGCUGCUAUAUUUAACCUUGUUUUAUCUGCAUGCACGUAGCAACCUAGCAUUAGCUUCAUUCACAAUGGGUUUGGAUCAUUACUUAGCGAGC